rnacentral:rRNA from 1 species
AACGAACGCUGGCGGCAUGCCUAACACAUGCAAGUCGAACGAGACCUUCGGGUCUAGUGGCGCACGGGUGCGUAACGCGUGGGAACCUGCCCUUAGGUUCGAAAUAACUCCCCGAAAGGGGUGCUAAUACCGGAUAAUGUCUUCGGACCAAAGAUUUAUCGCCUUUGGAUGGGCCCGCGUUGGAUUAGCUAGUUGGUAGGGUAAAAGCCUACCAAGGCGACGAUCCAUAGCUGGUCUGAGAGGAUGAUCAGCCACACUGGGACUGAGACACGGCCCAGACUCCUACGGGAAGCAGCAGUGGGGAAUAUUGGACAAUGGGCGAAAGCCUGAUCCAGCAAUGCCGCGUGAGUGAUGAAGGCCUUAGGGUUGUAAAGCUCUUUUACCCGGGAUGAUAAUGACAGUACCGGGAGAAUAAGCUCCGGCUAACUCCGUG